rnacentral:tRNA from 1 species
CAAGUUAAGUUCUAGGAAUAUUAUUAUUUACAAUAAUGAUUAGGAUUGUGCAAUUCAUCCUAACUUGA